rnacentral:rRNA from 1 species
UCAGUACGGGAGGCAGCAGUGGAGGAAUAUUGGACAAUGGUCGGAAGACUGAUCCAGCCAUGCCGCGUGCAGGAUGAAGGUCUUAUGGAUUGUAAACUGCUUUGUAAGGGAAGAAUAAGAGCUACGCGUAGUUUGAUGACGGUACCUUACGAAUAAGCAUCGGCUAACUCCGUGCCAGCAGCCGCGGUAAUCUGA